rfam:Beta vulgaris subsp. vulgaris chromosome 5, whole genome shotgun sequence.
GCACGAAAUGAUGAGCAAUUUUCCCUAUUGGUUUGAUUCGCCAGUAUGAUGGCGAUACUUUGUAUUAGCUCUAUCUGAUCU